GAUGAACGCUGGCGGCGUGCCUAACACAUGCAAGUCGAACGAAGCUUGACGGAUGAUUUCUUCGGAAUGAAACCAGAUAUGACUUAGUGGCGGACGGGUGAGUAACACGUGAGCAACCUGCCUUUCAGAGGGGGAUAACGGCUGGAAACGGUCGCUAAUACCGCAUGAAGUGUUCGGAUGGCAUCAUCUGAACAUCAAAGAUUUAUCGCUGAAAGAUGGGCUCGCGUCUGAUUAGAUAGUUGGUGGGGUAACGGCCUACCAAGUCGACGAUCAGUAGCCGGACUGAGAGGUUGAACGGCCACAUUGGGACUGAGACACGGCCCAAACUCCUACGGGAGGCAGCAGUGGGGAAUAUUGGGCAAUGGAGGAAACUCUGACCCAGCAACGCCGCGUGGAGGAAGAAGGUUUUCGGAUCGUAAACUCCUGUCCUUGGAGACGAGUAGAAGACGGUAUCCAAGGAGGAGGCCCCGGCUAACUACGUGCCAGCAGCCGCGGU
rnacentral:rRNA from 1 species